rnacentral:rRNA from 1 species
GAGUUUUAUAUUUAAUUUUAUUUUAUAAUUUUAUAAAAAUUAAUUAUAAAAUAAAAUUAAAUAUUAUAUUGGGGUGAUAGAAAAAUCUAAUAAACUUUUUUUAAAAAAUAAACAUUAAUAAAUGAAUUAAUGAUCCAUAAUUGAUGAUUAUAAGAAAAAAUUACCUUAGGGAUAACAGCGUAAUAUUAUUUUUUAGUACAAAUAAAAAAUAAAGAUUGC